UACGUAGGGUGCAAGCGUUGUCCGGAAUUAUUGGGCGUAAAAAGCUCGUAGGCGGUUUGUUGCGUCGGCUGUGAAAUCCCGAGGCUCAACCUCGGGUCUGCAGUCGAUACGAGCAAACUAGAGUGUUGCAGGGGAGACUGGAAUUCCUGGUGUAGCGGUGAAAUGCGUAGAGAUCCGGAGGAACACCAGAGGCGAAGGCGGCCUACUGGGCCAGUACUGACGCUGAGCCGCGAAAGCCAGGGGAGCGAACGGG
rnacentral:rRNA from 1 species